CUCCCCUACCCUGCCGCCUCCGCCAGUCCGCCUCCUUGCGCCUACCCCACCGCCGUCGCCCGCCGCCUUCUCCACCAGCGCCGACGCCUCCUCACGCCUACCCCAUUGCCGUCGCUGUCGUCGGCCCCGCCUUCUCCGCCGGCGGCAGCCGCGAAACCUACCCCGCCGCCGACGUCUCCUCGCGCCUACCACCCCCUACUCUCACGCUCCGUCGCCGAUCUCCUUCGCCGUUGCCCCGCCAUCGAUCUCCGACGCCGGAACUCCGUUGCAUGUCGCACGUCACCCAGAUCGGCGUCGCUCCAAGAUUGGCGUCACGGUCGCGGGCGUCGAUCUCGCUCCCCUAUCGGCAUCGCAAUCACUGGCGAUGAUAUCGUGGCCUCGAACCUUCGUAGCUGUCUCCAUCGCCUUCGCCGCUGCUGAUCCUGCUUCCCCAGUUCGCCGUCGUCGCCUUCGAUCCGGCGGGCCACGCCUCUGUCCACGCCCACCGCGGAGUGCGCCCCUCCAGCCAGUACAGCAGCAUCGCCACUGCCGACAGGAGCAGCAUCCCCGUCCAGAUUGUCAGCAGACAACCAGCCUCACCAUUUCAUUUGUGGCGAGCACCUUAAUUCCAUCUUGCCAUUGUCAAGAGUAUAUCAUCUGCAUCUAAUUCUGUAUAUUGAGUAUAUAUUGACUAGGAUCUUGGAAAUUUUUGAAUUGUUGUCAGAUAUUAAGUUCCUUAGUUUGAUGAUUUGAUUAGUUUUGCAACUAAUCACCAUUGAUCACAAGUAAACACCACUUAUAGCAGUUUAAUGGCUAUUUAUCUAAAAAGGAAAAAACUAGAAGUUUAAUGACUGAAACUGCAGUGGUACUAUGAUCUAUAAACAAGAAAUCUGCUGAGUUUCCUAGCAGUUGUUGGGUGCACUUUCCUCUUGCUGUGUCAUCCAUUAAAUUUCAAAAACUGCAAAUUCUUUGUAUAGGUAUUACUGGGACUCAAAUGUACACCUUUCAGUUCACACUCAAUUUUGUAGAACAGUAAAAGCGUGAAAAUAUAGGAAAUAUAAUUGAUUUGUUCAGAAAAUUAUUCAAAUGCUAACACACUGCCUAGGUAAUCACUUUCUCAACAUAAGUAUAUGUACAACAAUGCAUAUUGUUUCUACUUUUCACAAUUGGGAACCUGAAUACAUAAGUAUAUGUACAACAAUGCAUAUUGUUUCUACUUUUCACAAUUGGGAACCUGAAAUAUCAAGAUUCUAAAACUAAUGUGUGUCUGCUGUACAGUUCUUAAAACAAUGCUAUGGAAUAUUCUAUGACUAAUAUGUUGCACUGUAGAGUUCUGAAGAUUCUUCAAUCAAAGCGUGGGAAACUUCUGAGGGAAAGUUUGUCAAAAAAAUUCAGGUUACCAGUGUUUUGGUGGACAUUUACAUACUUAUGCAAUUUGAUAUGCUAAAUGAAUUUACUACUAAUACAUUACAUCAAUCUUCUGUUUGUAACUGGUUCAAUGGACCAUUAGAGCUUUCUGUUGACAAAUUAAAUGAGCUUUGUUCAUUUAUCCAACAACUUUUCUUUUUCUGAAUCUUGCUCCAAAUUUUGUCAUAUUAUUGACUAUUAUUUUUUUUAAACCAUGCAAAUAAUUUGUUGAUAUAACGAUGUUCACUUGGCAUAAGAAAUCAUAGCAGUGGAGGUAAUUUUUUUUC